rnacentral:rRNA from 1 species
ACGGACGCUGGCGGCGUGCUUAACACAUGCAAGUCGAACGGAAAGGCCCCAGCUUGCUGGGGUACUCGAGUGGCGAACGGGUGAGUAACACGUGGGUGAUCUGCCCCGCACUCUGGGAUAAGCCUGGGAAACUGGGUCUAAUACCGGAUAGGACCGUGCUUUAGUGUGUGCGGUGGAAAGUUUUUCGGUGCAGGAUGAGCCCGCGGCCUAUCAGCUUGUUGGUGGGGUAAUGGCCUACCAAGGCGGCGACGGGUAGCCGGCCUGAGAGGGUGUACGGCCACAUUGGGACUGAGACACGGCCCAGACUCCUACGGGAGGCAGAAGUGGGGAAUAUUGCACAAUGGGCGCAGGCCUGAUGCAGCGACGCCGCGUGGGGGAUGACGGCCUUCGGGUUGUAAACCCCUUUCGGCAGGGACGAAGCUUUUGUGACGGUACCUGCAUAAGAAGCACCGGCUAACUACGUG